rnacentral:misc_RNA from 1 species
GUUUUUACCUUUCAUUGUGACUGCAACAUAAAGAUUUUGUUAGAAUCCCACAACACUCUCAUAACACCAAUUUUGAUUUCUGCCUCAUGAAAUGAGGUUCCUGUGGCAUCAGAUGGGUAUGGCAGCACUGUAUUUUUAUCAGCCUUCAAUUCAUCAACAUCAACAACAAAUGUUUCCAGUUCCUCCAGGUUUCUUCCAUACCAUUUACCAUGCACCUGAUGAACUUUUCCUCUCG